UUUAAUAUGGCAGACUAAGUGCAAUGGAUUUAAAUUCCAUAUAUAAAGAUCCCUCUUUUAUUAAAA
rnacentral:tRNA from 1 species